rnacentral:lncRNA from 1 species
GAUGGCAGAAAGCAACAACAGUUGGAGGAUUCUCAUUCAAGGCACUGUUUUCAGAAAGUGCAGGGCGAAGGAAGAGUGGAGUUGGAGCUUGGAACAAGGCAAAUGGGUGCUGAACUAUGUUCCUUUCUCUAUGAGCCUCCAAGCAGAGUCUGAAGUGAGAAAGUCCAUCUGAAACUGAAGACAGCCAGGAGCAUAGAUGAAGAAGAAUGACAAAAGUCAGACAUGUCCUUUCUGUAGGAAAUCCAGGGCAGACAUGGUGCUAAAAGCUUUCUGUUUGU